rnacentral:rRNA from 1 species
AGGACGAACGCUGGCGGCGUGCUUAACACAUGCAAGUCAAGGGGGCUCCGCAAGGGGCAACCGGCGAACGGGUGCGUAACACGUGAGCAACCUGCCUUUGAGAGGGGGAUAGCCGGCCCAACGGCCGGGUAAUACCGCAUACGCUCGUGGUCUGGCAUCAGGCCGUGAGGAAACGUUUACGGCUCAGAGAGGGGCUCGCGGCCUAUCAGCUAGUUGGUGGGGUCACGGCUUACCAAGGCGACGACGGGUAGC